UGCACAUACAUUUCUCAGGUAACUGGACACAUGGGUGAGUGUGGAUGAGCAACAAUGACUGUGGGGUGAGUGAGUGUGUCCCGACUUUGAGCCGGCCCGGCAUGAACUUGUUGUGUCCAUGGCAGAGGAUUGUGGGGGAAGCUAGGAGAAUUUGAAGAUACGUGUUGAGGAUGGCAUGUGGUGGGCUGUCAGGAUGGUCUCUGGAGGUCCUGGAUGCAGAGUAUCCCUCCAGUGCAGCCCGGCAGAGGCCCCUUAUCCUGAGAAGAGCCUUACUGGGACUGGAUGAACGUAAUGCCAAUGAAGGCGCCUUUGUCUGCAAGAAGCUUUUCAUGGACCAUGUCAGGUUUGAUUGGUGGGUGUCUCCAGAGCUCACUCACCCAUUGGAUGAUCAACAGAGUUUCCUGUGAAACCCGACAGAGGCUGAGCCCAGGCUGCGCUGGGACCAGAGGUGCUGUUAUUCCUUUUCUCUCCCCAGAAGCACUUGCUGUCUGACCGCUCCCUCUGUCGCUCUGUGGGCACACAGGGGCCUUACAGCUUUGAGGGACAAUCCUCAGAGCCACACCCCGUUUCCACACCUGGAGAGACAUCUAUCUUCUGCAGACACACACGGUACAAGUCUGUACCACCUAAACCAUACUUGGUACAAUGUAUUUUUUCCAUGGAACCUAAACGUCUCCUCCGCUCUCCCUGUCCCCCAAGUUCUUGUGGCCACCCCUGCUGUGCUGAAACACUGCGCCACCUCUACACCUUAGCUAUGAAUCAAAAUCCUCUCAUGGUGCAGGUAGGGCUGUCACCUCCUCCCCUUGUUUCACAUGCAUCCCAGAUGUUCCCAGGGACGAAGGCCUGGCCUUUCCCCUGCUCCGACGUCUCAUGCGGGAGGUUGACGGUGCGGGCGAGCUCCAGGCGUCCGACGCCUGUGUGGAUCCUCUGUGGGAGCAGAGGGGCAGCUGCAGCCUUCCAGCUGCUCCAGCUCACCAAGAUCUGGGUUAGCCAUCUGCUCCGAUGGCAGCUCUCCACCCAGAUAGAGGAGAGCAUGUUUGGGCUACAGGAGGACGGCACGGCGGCAAGCCCACAGACGCCAGUACCACAGGAGUCAUGGACCUGGAGCAUGGAAGGGGAUAGGUGACGAUUCUCCUGCUGCUGGCUGUGCCGACCCCACCCUGCCUGGAGGAUCCUGGGAGUGGUACAAGCCCUGGUGGAGCGCCUGGGUGGAGCGCCCGGGUGGAGGGCCCGGGGCUCUGCAGCCCUCGGCUGGCUCACAGGUUCCCUGAGUGAACUACCUGAGUGAUACAACCAGUAUUACUGACCUGGGGCCGGCCCAGUAGGUUGGUCAUCCCUUCCAGAGACUGGACGAAACCCAGUGACUCAACCAAUGGAGCUAGUGUAAGAAUAAGAGUGUCUCUACUGUGUGC